rnacentral:lncRNA from 1 species
CUUUGAACCAUGUUCAGGUGCUGUGAGACAUUAUUUUAGAUAAUGAUGAGAGUGUCUCCUGUUGUUUACUACAUCCAUGGAAUUAUUUCAAAUCCUAAUUAUUUCAUCUGACCAGACAAUUAAAGAAGAUUGGAUGCUUUUGUUUUGGCAUUUGAAUUCUACUGUUCCAGCACCUUGGCUACAUGUCCCUUUACAAGAAGUUUUGAAUCCCAGAGGUGGAAUGAUGUCUACUGCAGGAUAUCAGACCCUCAAGCUGGGGAAUGUUAGAAAAGAAUUUGGGGAGAAUGCAGCUACUUCCAUUACCACUUUUGAAAUCUCCUCAAUGAUGCCUUCAUUCAGCAGUUGAGGAAGAGUUUCACUUUGACUGAGAAGACGUUUCCAUGUUCUUAAGGCAACCUAUUUCCUGAAGAGGAAAGGUUCUAUGUUGACAGAUAGCAGACUUCUAUCAAGUGAGAGCUGUUGGCACCUGCAUCAUUUUCCUGUGUAGCUGAUGUAGCUAAUGAGUCUUAAUUUACUAUUAUGGAAUAGUAAAUCUACAGAGUAAUCCAUAUACUAUACCUAUUCUUGCAAAUGAGCUCAUAUGACAUCUAUAAAUCUCAGUAGGCAAACACUUUAAAAUAUUGUAAAGUAGGUUUUUUACAUGAAAUCUUUUUUUUCCUAUCUAAUGUUGGCUCUGUUUGGAGAUUGAGUUAUAAAUAACCUCUGAAUGCCAGCUUCAGGAGGCCUGAUAAAAGCUAUUUUUUGUUGUUUUAAUGAAUAAAAUAUUGUCUCUGAAC